GAUGAACGCUAGCGGCAGGCUUAACACAUGCAAGUCGAGGGGUAGAAGGAGCUUGCUCCUUUGAGACCGGCGCACGGGUGCGUAACGCGUAUGCAAUCUACCUUUUGCAGAGGGAUAGCCCAGAGAAAUUUGGAUUAAUACCUCAUAGUAUGUGGGGAUGGCAUCAUUUUCACAUUAAAGUCACAACGGCAAAAGAUGAGCAUGCGUCCCAUUAGCUAGUUGGUAAGGUAACGGCUUACCAAGGCUACGAUGGGUAGGGGUCCUGAGAGGGAGAUCCCCCCACACUGGUACUGAGACACGGACCAGACUCCUACGGGAGGCAGCAGUGAGGAAUAUUGGACAAUGGGCGCAAGCCUGAUCCAGCCAUGCCGCGUGCAGGAUGACGGUCCUAUGGAUUGUAAACUGCUUUUGUACAGGAAGAAACACUACUUCGUGAAGUAGCUUGACGGUACUGUAAGAAUAAGGAUCGGCU
rnacentral:rRNA from 1 species